UACGUAGGGUGCGAGCGUUGCCCGGAUUUAUUGGGCGUAAAGGGCGCGUAGGCGGCCACGCACGUCCGUUGUGAAAUCGCCCGGCUCAACUGGGCGGGGUCAGCGGAUACGGUGUGGCUCGAGCAAGCUAGGGGGCAAUGGAAUUCCCGGUGUAGUGGUGGAAUGCGUAGAUAUCGGGAGGAACACCAGUGGCGAAGGCGGUUGCCUGGAGCUUUGCUGACGCUGAGGCGCGAAAGCGUGGGGAGCGAGUCCGA
rnacentral:rRNA from 1 species